CAAAAACAUGGCCAAAUUGAGACGCUCGAUUACAUGAUCCAAAUUAUUUUGAGUAAGUUUGUGUCUGUCAAGUGUUUUAAAUGUUGACGAUAGCAACAAUAAGUACAUAUAAAUAUUUGUAUAUAUUUUAAAGAAGAGAAAACAUAUUAAAGUCGAGUUGUAUGAAGGAAAUAGAUGAAUACACGGACGUCUACUGCUUCCAAUGACUGUUAACGCUUAAAGCUGUUGCGAAUGUCAUUUUUUGACGGACAUUCUUGUUGCAUACGUCAUUUAUCGACAUACACAAUUGUUGCUAUCGUCAUUCUUUGACGGCUGUUAAUGAUGCGAUCGUCAUAUUUUGACAACCGUCAAUGUUUUGACAUAAUAAAUCUACAUGUAAACAUUGUAGUGUCAGUAAUACCAGGUAGUGAGAGAUGGAUUGAGUUGAAUUACAGUCAAAUCGGCCCCAAGUCAGAUCGGCCCCAAGUCAGAUCGGCCCCAAAAUAGUCAAAUCGGCCCCAAGCGAAAUCGGCCUCAAGUCAGAUCAGCCCCAUUUUUUUUUCUUUGUUCAUUGUCUUAUUUAAAUGUUGUUAAAAAAAAUGUGUGGAUUGGAAUAUCAAAUGACUAACAAUAGAUUACAUUGAAAACCAGAACAAAACAUAAUAAUCAAUAUAAUUAAUUGUCUGAGUAUAACAUUUAUCUUCACUGUACUAAACUAUUUAUUGUCUAUAAACAUAUGAACAGUAUGUAAAUGUCACUUUUCAUGUUAUUGUCACUUCUCAAGCAAAGGUAAACUAUGAAUAACUUGCCUUAUUAGCUCCACUAUUCGAUAAGAAUAAGUAGAGCUAUUGUAGUACCCCGAGCGUCGGCGUCGGCGUAACCACUUAUGUUAAAGUUUUUGUAAUAGUUCAAAUAUUUUCAAAGUCCAUUGACAUAUGGCUUUGAAACUUUGCACACUUGUUCACCAUCAUGACCCCAACCUGUAGACAGGAGGAGGUAACUCUAUCAAGCAUUUUGACAGAAUUAUGCCCCUUUUUGGACUUAGAAUUUACGUUAAAGUUUUUGUAAUAGUUCAAAUAUUUUCAAAGUCCAUUGACAUAUAUGGCUUUGAAACUUUGCACACAUGUUCACCAUCAUGACCCCAACCUGUAGACAGGAGGAGGUAACUCUAUCAAGCAUUUUUUUUUACUAUCAAGCACUAAGAAUAGUCAAGUGUUGCUGUCCUACCGACAGCUCUUGUUAGAAAUUAAUGUUUUCUGUUUUCUCAUUUAUAUGUCUUGAAAAGUUAUGUUUCUACAAGUUUGCAGAAAAGUAGACUUGUGGGGAUGAUUUGGCGGACAGUUUGAUUGAAGACAUUGGUAUACCUGCUUCCAAGCAAAGUGACUCGAAGCAUUUGAAGACUUGUGGCGAUGAUUUGGCGGACAGUUUCUUUGUCUCUUUGUAUACCCACCCUAUAAAAUGCCGGGCAUGAUGGCGCGGUGGUUGUUCAAACCCAUGAACUGCACAGAGAGGAGAAAGUCUAUGGAUUGUGGGUCCAGUUCUAUAAGAAAGGAAAGCGACAAUUAAGGACAUUGGAGGAGAAAUCUUUCUUUGUUUGUUGUUAAACAACUUGCUGAACCUUUACUGUCUAUGCAUGGAUCUAGAUUAUACUACAAAUUUUGAGUGUUUGGUGUACAGUUACACUUAAUAGCCCAUCAGAAAGGCCGACAUGGUGACUGGUGCUUUUACAUCUAAUUUGGUGCAGACUGUUUUCAUACUUUCUUACAAAAACUGUUAGAAAUAUAUUAUAUCGGCGAUUAAAAAGACCUUUAUUGCUAUGUCAAAGUUUUUUUAAUUUAUAUAUUGUAAAUCGAGAUAUAUGUUUACUUUUGAAAUAAAUUCAUAAUUUGAUUGCCUUUUGUUCAGUAAACCCGACCGCUGUCUUAUUAACGGGAGGUAACUCACGUGACUUGACUGACAGUAAUAUGAAUCAUCGUAGCCAUUUAUCCCCAAAGACACAUAAUGAUAUUGAAACUUAACUUGUAUCAAAUAUUUUUUAUUUAUAAUUUUAGAUAAAGUUUAAAAUAUUCUUAAGAUAAGUUUAGCUAUAACGAGGUAAAUAUCACACGGAG